CAUGUCUGGGAUCACUGAGCGGCUCUGUUCUCCCCCAUGCUGGCACUGUGCCCACAGCCCAAACAGAAUGGAGAAAGGGGAGUAUGCAGAGAGAAGAAAGAACCAGUUUUCUCUCUGGUACCCAAUCUCAGGUCUGGAAGAGGAAAGACAUCCACGGAAGUUGGUGACUUGGACUGGCUCGGCCAUGAGUGGAGCAUGUCCAUCCAGCAUGGCCACAGUCCAGUGGGACACACAGCUUAGAGCUGUGGAAUCUGUGCCACAGGACUCCUAACGCUGUGUAGAUGCCUACGUUUGUGAUUGCACGCUUUGGAGGGCGUCACUGUUGUGCUGCGCAGUAAGGUCUACCUGUGGCGUGCCUUAACUCUAUGUGGCUUGAGUAUCUGCCAGCGUUCUGCAUUGAAACAUUGUUGGUGAACCUUCACACUCUUCCUAUCCUUGAAUUUCCUUUUGAAUUUCAUGCCAUGUUACUUCUCAGUCCCUGCCUGUCAUCUGCUUAUGCAGCCCACUGCUUUGAAUGCAGAAAUGGUGUUUCUGUGGCAUUACACACAGGUCUUUG
rnacentral:lncRNA from 1 species